rnacentral:rRNA from 1 species
AUGACAAAUGGUAGCUUGGACAUGCUCCUACACCAGCCUCAGAGUUCAUGGCGCCUAGGGUUCCUUGAGAGACUAGGCAUCAUGCUCGGCGUGUCGAUGGCAAUGGAGUACCUCCAUCACAAUCACAACGAGCUGAUCUUUCACCGUGACCUGAAGCCUAGCAACAUGUUGUUUGACGAGGAGAUGACGAUGCAUGUAGCGGACUUUGGCAUUGCAAUGUUGAUUCUAGACGACAAAUCCACAACAUGCACGAGCAUGCCCGAAACAGUAGGCGAGUACGGGUCUCUCGGAAAAGCAUCGUUGAACAGCGACGUGUUCAGCUACGGAAUCAUGCUCCUUGAAGUCUUCACCGGGAGGAGACCCACGGAUGCCAUGUUCGGCGAACAGCUGACCCUCGGGCAGUGGGUCCAUCAGGCAUUCCCCGCGGAGCUUCUCCAGGCCGUGGACGGCCAACUACUGCAAGGACCCUACCUUUCUAGUGGGAGCUCGGACCAUGGCCUUCUCGCGUCCGUGUUCGAGCUAGGUUUGCUCUGCUCCAGCGAGUCGGCUGACCAGAGGAUGACGAUGCGCGAUGUGGUCGUGGCGCUGAAGAAGAUCAAAGACGAACAAGUUCCUGCAGCCAGGCUCCCAUCAUGCGAACCACCUCGGCCAAAUCAGUUCAGCGGGGCAACGCCAUCAUUCUCCUACAACUGUAAUGUCGGAGGACCAGUAGUGUACUAUUCUAAUCACGAUGGAAAGAAAGAUCUCUUCUGGUUCUGGAAUUGUACUAGCAUCUCCAAUGAACUCUUCUUGAUGACAGCAGCAACAGGAAAGCAUGCCAACAAUCAUAAACAAGUUUGUACUACGUGCAGCGCAGCACAUGGAGCCAUGGAGAGGACGACGGACAGUUAG